AUGCCUUCUCUCUCGCAAAUGAUGAUGAUGAUGAUGAUGAUUCUCUUUCUCUGUUAGGUGGCCAUACGCAAAGCGGCGCAAGGCUUUUAAGGAAGUUGGGGAAGUGAAGCUUCAACAGCUAUUUGGAUUUGGUCGGAACCUAACAGAAUUUUGGAGUUUUAUCAUUACAAGUUGGAAGAAAAAUCCAAAGUUUGGGGUGCUGCGUCUUUCUCACUUAAUGGAUUAACUUAGCUCGUAAAUGUUCCAUUUAAAAUUAUGAGUGUUUGAAUUGUAUUAGUAUAGUCCUUCUUUUUCAACUUUGUUGAUGGAGUGAUAUGCACGUAAUCACUAAUCGCCUAUGAGUAUUGAAGAAUGGGUUGUUUUAAGCAUAAGGGUCAUCUCUUCUUACAAAAUGAA